rnacentral:rRNA from 1 species
UACGUAGGGGGCUAGCGCUGUCCGGAAUCAUUGGGCGUAAAGAGCGUGUAGGCGGCCCGGUAAGUCCGCUGUGAAAGUCGGGGGCUCAACCCUCGGAUGCCGGUGGAUACUGUCGGGCUCGAGUACGGAAGAGGCGAGUGGAAUUCCUGGUGUAGCGGUGAAAUGCGCAGAUAUCAGGAGGAACACCUAUUGCGAAGGCAGCUCGCUGGGACGUUACUGACGCUGAGACGCGAAAGCGUGGGGAGCAAACAGG